rnacentral:rRNA from 1 species
AGCGUACACGGUGGAUGCCCUGGCAGUCAGAGGCGAUGAAGGACGUGCUAAUCUGCGAUAAGCGUCGGUAAGGUGAUAUGAACCGUUAUAACCGGCGAUUUCCGAAUGGGGAAACCCAGUGUGUUUCGACACACUAUCAUUAACUGAAUCCAUAGGUUAAUGAGGCGAACCGGGGGAACUGAAACAUCUAAGUACCCCGAGGAAAAGAAAUCAACCGAGAUUCCCCCAGUAGCGGCGAGCGAACGGGGAGGAGCCCAGAGCCUGAAUCAGUGUGUGUGUUAGUGGAAGCGUCUGGAAAGGCGCGCGAUACAGGGUGACAGCCCCGUACACAAAAAUGCACAUACUGUGAGCUCGAUGAGUAGGGCGGGACACGUGGUAUCCUGUCUGAAUAUGGGGGGACCAUCCUCCAAGGCUAAAUACUCCUGACUGACCGAUAGUGAACCAGUACCGUGAGGGAAAGGCGAAAAGAACCCCGGCGAGGGGAGUGAAAAAGAACCUGAAACCGUGUACGUACAAGCAGUGGGAGCCUCUUUUAUGGGGUGACUGCGUACCUUUUGUAUAAUGGGUCAGCGACUUAUAUUCUGUAGCAAGGUUAACCGAAUAGGGGAGCCGAAGGGAAACCGAGUCUUAACUGGGCGUUAAGUUGCAGGGUAUAGACCCGAAACCCGGUGAUCUAGCCAUGGGCAGGUUGAAGGUUGGGUAACACUAACUGGAGGACCGAACCGACUAAUGUUGAAAAAUUAGCGGAUGACUUGUGGCUGGGGGUGAAAGGCCAAUCAAACCGGGAGAUAGCUGGUUCUCCCCGAAAGCUAUUUAGGUAGCGCCUCGUGAAUUCAUCUCCGGGGGUAGAGCACUGUUUCGGCAAGGGGGUCAUCCCGACUUACCAACCCGAUGCAAACUGCGAAUACCGGAGAAUGUUAUCACGGGAGACACACGGCGGGUGCUAACGUCCGUCGUGAAGAGGGAAACAACCCAGACCGCCAGCUAAGGUCCCAAAGUCAUGGUUAAGUGGGAAACGAUGUGGGAAGGCCCAGACAGCCAGGAUGUUGGCUUAGAAGCAGCCAUCAUUUAAAGAAAGCGUAAUAGCUCACUGGUCGAGUCGGCCUGCGCGGAAGAUGUAACGGGGCUAAACCAUGCACCGAAGCUGCGGCAGCGACGCUUAUGCGUUGUUGGGUA